rnacentral:rRNA from 1 species
GUCGGGAAUAUUGGUCAAUGGGCGAAAGCCUGAACCAGCAACGCCGCGUGCACGAUGAAGGCCUUCGGGUCGUAAAGUGCUUUUCGGGAGGAUGAGGAAGGACAGUACUCCCGGAAUAAGUCACGGCUAACUACGUGCCAGCAGCCGCGGUAAAACGUAGGUGACAAGCGUUAUCCGGAUUUACUGGGCGUAAAGCGCGUGCAGGCGGCUUGGCAAGUCGGGCAUGAAAUCUCCUGGCUUAACUGGGAGACGCUGUCCGAUACUGCUAGGCUUGAGGGCAGUAGAGGGUGGUGGAAUUCCGCAUGUAGUGGUGAAAUGCGUAGAUAUGCGGAGGAACACCAGUGGCGAAGGCGGCCACCUGGACUGCACCUGACGCUGAAGCGCGAAAGCUAGGGGAGCGAACGGGAUUAGAAACCCGAGUAGUCC